rnacentral:rRNA from 1 species
GAUUCGUCACACUAUCAUUAACUGAAUCCAUAGGUUAAUGAGGCGAACCGGGGGAACUGAAACAUCUAAGUACCCCGAGGAAAAGAAAUCAACCGAGAUUCCCCCAGUAGCGGCGAGCGAACGGGGAGGAGCCCAGAGCCUGAAUCAGCAUGUGUGUUAGUGGAAGCGUCUGGAAAGGCGCGCGAUACAGGGUGACAGCCCCGUACACAAAAGCGCAUGUGCUGUGAGCUCGAUGAGUAGGGCGGGACACGUGGUAUCCUGUCUGAAUAUGGGGGGACCAUCCUCCAAGGCUAAAUACUCCUGACUGACCGAUAGUGAACCAGUACCGUGAGGGAAAGGCGAAAAGAACCCCGGCGAGGGGAGUGAAAAAGAACCUGAAACCGUGUACGUACAAGCAGUGGGAGCACAGGUUUACCUGUGUGACUGCGUACCUUUUGUAUAAUGGGUCAGCGACUUAUAUUCUGUAGCAAGGUUAACCGUAUAGGGGAGCCGCAGGGAAACCGAGUCUUAACCGGGCGUUAAGUUGCAGGGUAUAGACCCGAAACCCGGUGAUCUAGCCAUGGGCAGGUUGAAGGUUGGGUAACACUAACUGGAGGACCGAACCGACUAAUGUUGAAAAAUUAGCGGAUGACCUGUGGCUGGGGGUGAAAGGCCAAUCAAACCGGGAGAUAGCUGGUUCUCCCCGAAAGCUAUUUAGGUAGCGCCUCGUGAAUUCAUCUCCGGGGGUAGAGCACUGUUUCGGCUAGGGGGCCAUCCCGGCUUACCAACCCGAUGCAAACUGCGAAUACCGGAGAAUGUUAUCACGGGAGACACACGGCGGGUGCUAACGUCCGUCGUGAAGAGGGAAACAACCCAGACCGCCAGCUAAGGUCCCAAAGUCAUGGUUAAGUGGGAAACGAUGUGGGAAGGCCCAGACAGCCAGGAUGUUGGCUUAGAAGCAGCCAUCAUUUAAAGAAAGCGUAAUAGCUCACUGGUCGAGUCGGCCUGCGCGGAAGAUGUAACGGGGCUAAACCAUGCACCGAAGCUGCGGCAGCGAACGUAUCACUUAAAGCGAUUCAGCGGGUUACGAUUGACGGAGCGAAGCGACGUCAAAGCGUAUACAAAGUCGAGUCGGUUUAAGGAUACGUUCGUUGGGUAGGGGAGCGUUCUGUAAGCCUGUGAAGGUGGCCUGUGAGGGUUGCUGGAGGUAUCAGAAGUGCGAAUGCUGACAUAAGUAACGAUAAAGCGGGUGAAAAGCCCGCUCGCCGGAAGACCAAGGGUUCCUGUCCAACGUUAAUCGGGGCAGGGUGAGUCGACCCCUAAGGCGAGGCCGAAAGGCGUAGUCGAUGGGAAACGGGUUAAUAUUCCCGUACUUGGUGUUACUGCGAAGGGGGGACGGAGAAGGCUAUGUUGGCCGGGCGACGGUUGUCCCGGUUUAAGCGUGUAGGUGUGUGUUCCAGGUAAAUCCGGUUCACUUUAACACUGAGGCGUGAUGACGAGGCACUACGGUGCUGAAGCAACAAAUGCCCUGCUUCCAGGAAAAGCCUCUAAGCAUCAGGUAACAUCAAAUCGUACCCCAAACCGACACAGGUGGUCAGGUAGAGAAUACCAAGGCGCUUGAGAGAACUCGGGUGAAGGAACUAGGCAAAAUGGUGCCGUAACUUCGGGAGAAGGCACGCUGACAUGUAGGUGAAGUGAUUUACUCAUGGAGCUGAAGUCAGUCGAAGAUACCAGCUGGCUGCAACUGUUUAUUAAAAACACAGCACUGUGCAAACACGAAAGUGGACGUAUACGGUGUGACGCCUGCCCGGUGCCGGAAGGUUAAUUGAUGGGGUCAGCGCAAGCGAAGCUCCUGAUCGAAGCCCCGGUAAACGGCGGCCGUAACUAUAACGGUCCUAAGGUAGCGAAAUUCCUUGUCGGGUAAGUUCCGACCUGCACGAAUGGCGUAAUGAUGGCCAGGCUGUCUCCACCCGAGACUCAGUGAAAUUGAACUCGCUGUGAAGAUGCAGUGUACCCGCGGCAAGACGGAAAGACCCCGUGAACCUUUACUAUAGCUUGACACUGAACAUUGAGCCUUGAUGUGUAGGAUAGGUGGGAGGCUUUGAAGCGUGGACGCCAGUCUGCGUGGAGCCGGCCUUGAAAUACCACCCUUUAAUGUUUGAUGUUCUAACGUGGACCCGUGAUCCGGGUUGCGGACAGUGUCUGGUGGGUAGUUUGACUGGGGCGGUCUCCUCCUAAAGAGUAACGGAGGAGCACGAAGGUUGGCUAAUCCUGGUCGGACAUCAGGAGGUUAGUGCAAUGGCAUAAGCCAGCUUGACUGCGAGCGUGACGGCGCGAGCAGGUGCGAAAGCAGGUCAUAGUGAUCCGGUGGUUCUGAAUGGAAGGGCCAUCGCUCAACGGAUAAAAGGUACUCCGGGGAUAACAGGCUGAUACCGCCCAAGAGUUCAUAUCGACGGCGGUGUUUGGCACCUCGAUGUCGGCUCAUCACAUCCUGGGGCUGAAGUAGGUCCCAAGGGUAUGGCUGUUCGCCAUUUAAAGUGGUACGCGAGCUGGGUUUAGAACGUCGUGAGACAGUUCGGUCCCUAUCUGCCGUGGGCGCUGGAGAACUGAGGGGGGCUGCUCCUAGUACGAGAGGACCGGAGUGGACGCAUCACUGGUGUUCGGGUUGUCAUGCCAAUGGCACUGCCCGGUAGCUAAAUGCGGAAGAGAUAAGUGCUGAAAGCAUCUAAGCACGAAACUUGCCCCGA